rnacentral:rRNA from 1 species
GUUUGACCUGGCUCAGAUUGAACGCUGGCGGCAGGCCUAACACAUGCAAGUCGAACGGUAACAUUUCUAGCUUGCUAGAAGAUGACGAGUGGCGGACGGGUGAGUAAUGCUUGGGAACUUGCCUUUGCGAGGGGGAUAACAGUUGGAAACGACUGCUAAUACCGCAUAAUGUCUUCGGACCAAACGGGGCUUCGGCUCCGGCGCAAAGAGAGGCCCAAGUGAGAUUAGCUAGUUGGUAAGGUAAAGGCUUACCAAGGCGACGAUCUCUAGCUGUUCUGAGAGGAAGAUCAGCCACACUGGGACUGAGACACGGCCCAGACUCCUACGGGAGGCAGCAGUGGGGAAUAUUGCACAAUGGGGGAAACCCUGAUGCAGCCAUGCCGCGUGUGUGAAGAAGGCCUUCGGGUUGUAAAGCACUUUCAGUUGUGAGGAAAAGUUAGUAGUUAAUACC